AUCUUAUUUGAUUCUAGAUUUUCUGCUUUUGGUUUGGGAUCCAAUAGUUAAUAAUGUUUGUUGCCGUGUCUUUUCCCUCACCUGGAAAGCAGGCACUCUACAGAAAUCCCAUAAAAGUAAGCUUAACAAUUAAGAAAAUAAAAUAAAACUGAAAAGUCUGUAGAAGGCAAUUAUUUUAGCUGAAUUAUUGAUUUAAACAGAUUUUUAUGUAACAAUGUUACAAUUUGCUGUAUUUAGGAAACUGCCAUAUUUCUGGACACAAAGCAUCCUGAUCAUUACAGAGUUUACAAUCUCUGCAGUAAGUUAGAUCAUGAAAAACCUGGAAAAGUCAAGGAACUUGAAAAUAGUCAUUUUCAGGCCUGGAUAAGUUUUGGAAAAAAAAAACAAACAAAAAAAACAAAGUCAAAGUCAAAUUUACUCUUUGUGAUCUUUGUGUUUCCAUUUAUUGACUCUGUUUAUCGACUCCGUUUAUCGACUCUGUUUAUCGACUGAGAAAAGCUAUUUAAAAAAUAAUUUGAUAACUUGAUUGGAGUUUCAGAUGGAAUAUAACUGUAAAUUCACAGAGAAAAAUCUAGGUGUUUAGGCUGUAAUUAAGCUCUUGCUCUCUUCCACUCUUUGGGAAGCAUAUUGGUUAUAUAUGCAAGUAAAUUACCAGUAAUGGUGACAAGAAGGCAACAUUUAAACAGAUGCAUUUAAAAGCUGUUAAAAAAAUAAAGAAUCUACACAAUAUAGACACAACCUAAACAUAUUCCCUGACAGCCAGAUAUAUGCCAAAUUAGUUUAUUUAAAAAUUGAUUCUGUUCAAAGUUUUAAACAGAAGAUUCUAUAUCAUGUUUGAUGAAAGUGUGAAAUACUGUUUACAGGUUAAACAUUAGAAAUGUUUAUCAGUGUUUAAAAUGGGCCUGAGCUGAUUAAUACAUCAGUGCAGAGUAAAGUAAUUUAGCCCUACAUUAUGGAGCGCUCAGAAUUUGACACAUUUUAUUAUUGAAGAUUGUGUCUUAGCAUUGCUUAAAUAAAUGUUUUUUUUUUUAAUUAUUUAAAUAUAUUUAAUGUAAAUAUAGGCCUACUAUAAUCAGUUUUGAUAUACAUUCUUGUCUACUCUGAUGUUUUAAACACGCUAUGGUCAUUAAAAUGUGCUGCGAAAGCAUAGAAAAGGCACAGAAAAUAAUUUAAAUUUAUAGGUUAACACUAUUUGUAAUCUACAUGUGUAUACAUAUUUUACCCUUGUUUUCUUUUUUUCCAGAGGGAAUUAUAAAAUAAGCUAAAGACUUUCAUGUUUACUACAACUUAAUUAUUAAUCAUGUACCAGUGUUUUAUAGCAAAUGUAACCAAAAAAUGUCCCACAUUAUAUGUCCCAGGUUAUAAUUUUUUGCAUUGUCAGCGAUACCAGACGCACAUUCACACACACAAUGGAAACAUGAACAGCUAGACGUGCUAAUGAAACGUAAAAUACUACUGCUUUUACUACUGUUGAUGUUUGGUGCAGCCAUCUUGCGUUCUGAACUUGUGGGUUUAUUCCAGUUGAAAUGUUCUACUUAGAACUUGGAAAUUUCCAGUUCUGAAUUCCUACUUCAGAUGGAAUGCAGUAUAAGGAUUCACAUUAGAGCUCGACCCAACCUGCCCCAUACACUGUCAUUUUGAGCCAAAGCCCGAAUUAAACCUGACAUUUUUUGAGUAAGUAGAGCAUUAAAACUGAGCUUUUAAAAAACAUUUUCGUUCUGUUUAGAAUGAGUGAAGAAUGAAUAAGACCUAUUAUUUAAGAAAAAUAUUAUUAAUUAUUAGGAACAGAUCUCCAAAAGAUUAUAACAUGAACAAUGCAAACAAUGAUCCAAAGGCCUAAACAUUAGGCUACAACAAUGUCUGAAUGACUUUCCUCUAAUCUAGUAUAAUAUAACAUGGUUUAAGAAAAUAAAAUAAAUUCUUUUAUAAUUUUAUUUAUAUUUUUUUCCCAUUUUCUCCCCAAUUUACACAGCCAACCCACUCGUUAGGACUCCCCCUAUCACUAGUGAUGCCCCAACACACCAGGAGGAGGAAGACUAGCACACUCUUUCUCCGAUACAUGUGAAGUCAGCCACCGCUUCUUUUCGAGCUGCUGCUGAUGCAGCAUUGCCAAGGAGCCAGCACAUUUGGAGGAAAGCGCAGCGGCAGGUGAACCCAAGGAACCUGAGGAAAGUGGUGGGAAAUCUCGAGCCAGUGACAUGUUGAACUACACUGCCAGUUUGAGGGAAUGUCAUUGCCAUCAAAUUCAGAAGGUGAACCACAUGACUCCUCAGAGGUGCAGAGCUUCUCUCAGCUUAA